rnacentral:rRNA from 1 species
UUGUACACACCGCCCGUCAAACCAUGGGAGCUGGUAAUGCCCGAAGUCGGUUUAUAAACAAACUGCCUAAGGCAGGACUGGGGUUAAGUCGUAACAAGGUAUCCCUACGAGAACGUGGGGAUGGAUCACCUCCUUCCAGUGUCACUGGAGUACAA